UGGAAAACUUACUUCCUUGGUUGAAAUUGAGGAGUUGCCACAAAAAGCCGUUGUUCAUAUUUCACUUACACAAGAUUCCAGUUCUGUUGCGUCCACUGAAACACUGUCAGAUGUAUCAUCCCCGGAACGUCUAAGCAGAUGGCCUCCAGGUUCUUUUCAAAUUCCCACAUUUGGAUUUGACGUUGAGCUGACACUUAGACAAGGGAAUACUGAAUUUGAGAAGACUGGAAGACCUCUUAAGUUGUCAAGAGACCAAAAGCACGAUAUUUUAGAAAAACUUGCAUCUGUUAUAUUUGGGUUCAAGGCUUACCCAAGCGACAAAGAGAUAGCAAUGGUAGCGGAGGCUCUUGUGGCUAAACAUCCCUGUUUAAAAGAAGCAGGAUCUACCACUGGAUGGAAUGGAUGGAAGAACAGCAUCAAGUUCAAAAUGGGCAAUUACAGGACCAAGAUGAGAAGGGCUGGAUGCCAAGAGGUCACUGUAAAUGCUGGAAAAAGAAGCCAAAGAAACCCAGAGAAUGAACCUUCCCACUCCAACAUCAAACGACCCAAGCGUGCAGAAGUAAACUUUCUGCCCAACUUUCCCCAAGGGGAGGAUCCCUCAAGUCUUGAACAUCUGAGGCAGGUAAUUGUUGAAGAAGUAAAGAAGACCGAGAGAAACCUACCUCUCAUUAGUAAGAUGAUGCAGACCACGUUUGCCUUGCGGAGAAAGACCAUAGUGAUGUCCUGCCCACCAGUCAAACAGCUCAUGGACCUCUGGCCUGCUCUUCAGAUGCAGUCUGAGGUAAUAUCUCUUUCACCUGUUUUUCCUUUGGUAAUGUGUUUCAUGUGUAGUUUUGCUUAAUUUGAUUAAUCUUUAAAUAAAUAAUUGAUGUUACUGUACUGUCUUUUUACUUUUGUUAAAUGUAGGUAUAUGCAGAGUUCCAGCGCAUAACAAACCAGAACCUGCCUAAUACAUUCUACGGAGAGCUUGAUCGGCACACUCCACGUUUGAUGACCUUAUUCAGGCAGAAGGCGUCCAAAACUGGAAGGACUUCAGAUGCUUUGGCUGCCAUUUUCAAAGUGCAUGAUGAACAGGAAUCACAUGAUGUGUACACAAGGCGUACCACUAUCCUACAUGCCCUUCCUGUAUAUCUGCGGGAGGAAAUCUCUGGAUUUUACAGAACAUGCGUGGAUGAUUUAGAGGAGCCAGAUGUCACAGAUGCAACGGUGGCCCUCCUUACAACCAUCAGCGAAAAUACCAUGAGUCCAGUCCACUACCACCC